GAUAAUCAAAACAUAGAUGGAGUCUAUCAACACCCCAAAGCUUGACAGUCAUUAUUACCUCUUCAUUGGUGACAUUUUAUUCCAUAGCGUUACACAGUUUGGAUGCUGUUUUAUUUUAUCUUUAAUUCGUGUUAGAUUACAUGUGGAAGCAUCUGUUGUUUUGGUUUCUUCUCCACUUGUGUUUUUUGGGGUUUUUGGAAAUUCUGUACAGAAGAUGUGUACUAGCGCCCCCUACCAUAUAACAAUGACAACACGGAUUCUAGGAAUUAACACAAGUAUAGCUCAAAUAUAUUUUGAUUUUUUUCCUUAGUAUGUCAGGUAUACUUAAAUGUCAUUUUAAGUAUAUUUCUGAGAAGUACAUAAAGCCCAUUUCUGAGAAGUAGACAUAACAAGUUGACCAAAAGUAUACUUUCCUAUAAACGCAGUUGUUUUUUACAGAUAGGCUACGUUAAAUAUUGAAGUUUGGAAUGGCUGUGUUUACAAAAGUUUCUUAAGUUGACACUGUAUCUUUACUUUGAGCAUUCGGAAACAAAGCAUCUUUCCAACUGUAAUCGCGUGUAUAUAUGAUUAUAUUGGAAUGUUGGAAUACUUGGAAAUGAUGUGAGAGAAAGUGGAGUUUCAUAAAUGCUAACUUCACACACAGGCGGAUGUGAGGCGACAGAGCUACUGAUCACUGCCACCGAUAGAAGCAGAAACAUGCAUAAAUAGGCUACUUGGGAGGUGGAGUCUCAUAAACUGCUUCUUUCCUAGAUUAGGCUACAACUGGAAAAGAAUUAGAAAAUGAAAAUGACAAGUCCUAAAACAAGAGCUACAUCAAGUGCAUCUAAAGAUGAUCAUGUGACCAGCUCUCUUCAACAGCCAGCAUCUCCAUUUGACCAGUAAUGUGGUGUCUAAAUUUCUGAAGAUCAGACCACAGGUCCUCGGGGUAAAGCAAACUGUCCCACUUCUAAUUUCUUUCUGCUAAUAUUAAUUAUGGGUAAUGAGGAAACGUUCACCAUCUUGUUUUAUAUUUUACAGGGUUUGGAAAUAGUAUUUGGCAUAGCGGUGUUUGCCUUAACAAUCUUGAAGGGUUAUAUUACAUUUUGUGGACUUCUAUCAUUUCAUUUUUAAUUGGAUCUUUGACGGUGUUAGCUGCACACAAACGUACUACACGAUGGAUCAGAGCCUCACAAUCUCUAAACUACCUCAAUGCCAUAACAUCUAUUUUCUCCAUUCCAUUUCAUGGGUUUGCAAAUGAUGGUGUGACUCACAUUGUAUUGAUGGUCUGUGAUGCUCUUGUCUUCGUCUUCUCCAUUACUGUUGCCUCAACUUCCUGCUGCGGGCCAAAGCGAAGGCCAGUUUACAGGCAAUACAGCACUAGGGUUUAUCACAGGAACAGGCCUCUGCCUGGUGUGACUGUCAACAAUAUUGUGUUUGUGACUCAACCAAACUCUGCUGCAACACCAACAGUUUUCAGUUCAGUUCAGUAUGGGCUGCAAUCAGAAUAUGGACCAGCCUUUUCCAGAUGACCUGAGGACUGAAGGACAGAAGAUGAUCGGGAUCCCAGCCAAAGGAUGAACUUAAUAGUUCAUUUAUGUAUUAUAUUAAACAUUUUACAAAAACAAUUACUGUUUUUACUGUUCAUGCAAAAUAUUCUGGUUUAAAAUCUCACAGUUAGUUUAACAUGUUGAAAUUGGGAGGAGCAUGUUGAUCGAACUUUCCCAUAGAUUUCCAUUGUAGGUGCAGAUUUUUUUUAUAUUAGUCAUUAUAAAACAUUCAUGCAAAAAAAAAAUCAGAAUAGCAACUAGUGUUAUAAAUAAAUAAAUAAAGGAACAUAUUUCUGCAUAUUGUAUAUUGGCCCAGAAUAGUGUGAAGUUUCAGAAACUUUCAGCAUGAAUUUUACUUAGUAGGUGGAGUCUCAUAAACUGCUCUGCAGCUAAACUACAACUGAAAAAGAAAGAAAAUAAAAAUGACAAGACCUCAGACAAGAGCAACAUCAAGUUAAAUCAGUCUAUUAUUAUUUUGCUCAUAUUAUAGUACGGUAGUAUAUAUUAUAAUACAUAUUAUAGUACUGAUCUGAAUGGACAGGAAGCCGAGAUGAAGAUUACUAUACAAUUUGUGGAAUAAAAUAUCAAGCUUCAUUUAAAAAGAGGCUUAAAUUUUUUAUCUUUAUUUGUGUUGA